rnacentral:rRNA from 1 species
CCUAAGCUGAGGCCGAAAGGCGUAGGUGAUGGACAACAGGUUGAUAUUCCUGUACUACCGAUAACCGUUGAGAGAUGGGAUGACACAGUAGGAUAAGCUAAGCACACUGUUGGUUAUGUGUGCCCAGCAUUGAGGCAGUCAAAGUAGGGUAAAUCCGCUUUGAUAAUGCUGGGAUGUGAUGGGGAAGCGAAAUUUAGUAGCGAAGUAGCUGAUUUCACACUGUCAAGAAAAGUCUCUAUCGAGGUUAAAGGUACCCGUACCACAAACCGACACAGGUGGGUGAGGAGAGUAUCCUAAGGCCAGCGAGAGAACUGUUGUUAAGGAACUCGGCAAAAUGACCCCGUAACUUAGGGAUAAGGGGUGCCACCAUCAGGUGGCCGCAGAGAAUAGGCCCAAGCGACUGUUUACCAAAAACAUAGGUUUCUGCUAAGUCGCAAGACGAUGUAUAGGAGCUGACGCCUGCCCGGUGCUGGAAGGUUAAGGGGAUCUGUUAGAGCAAUCGAAGCAGUGAACUUAAGCCCCAGUAAACGGCGGCCGUAACUAUAACGGUCCUAAGGUAGCGAAAUUCCUUGUCGGGUAAGUUCCGACCCGCACGAAAGGCGUAACGAUUUGGGCACUGUCUCAACAACAGACUCGGUGAAAUUGUAAUUCCGGUGAAGAUGCCGGAUACCUGCGACAGGACGGAAAGACCCCAUGGAGCUUUACUGUAGCUUGACAUUGGGUCUUGGUACUACAUGUACAGGAUAGGUGGGAGGCUUUGAAACCAGGACGCCAGUUUUGGCGGAGCCAUCCUUGGGAUACCACCCUUGUAGUACUGGGACUCUAACCAUAGGCCAUGAAUCUGGUCUUGGGACACUGUCAGGUGGGCAGUUUGACUGGGGCGGUCGCCUCCCAAAAGGUAACGGAGGCGCUCAAAGGUUCUCUCAGUACGGUCGGAAAUCGUACGUAGAGUGUAAAGGCAAAAGAGAGCUUGAUUGCAAGACAUACAGGUCGAGCAAGGAUGAAAAUCGGACUUAGUGAUCCGGUGGUUCUGCGUGGAAGGGCCAUCGCUCAACGGAUAAAAGCUACCCUGGGGAUAACAGGCUUAUCUCCCCCAAGAGUCCACAUCGACGGGGAGGUUUGGCACCUCGAUGUCGGCUCAUCACAUCCUGGGGCUGUAGUAGGUCCCAAGGGUUGGGCUGUUCGCCCAUUAAAGUGGUACGCGAGCUGGGUUCAGAACGUCGUGAGACAGUUCGGUCCCUAUCCGUCGCAGGCGUAGGAAAUUUGAGAAGACCUGUCCUUAGUACGAGAGGACCGGGAUGGACGUACCUCUGGUGUACCAGUUGUCCUGCCAAGGGCAUGGCUGGGUAGCUAUGUACGGAAUGGAUAAGCGCUGAAAGCAUCUAAGCGCGAAGCCAACUUCAAGAUAAGAUUUCCCACCGCAAGGGUAAGACCCCAGAAAGACUAUCUGGUUGAUAGGUCGAAGGUGUAAGUGCAGCAAUGUAUUUAGCUUAUCGAUACUAAUAGGUCGAGGACUUGACCAA